GGGUUGUGAGGUUAAGCGACUAAGCGUACACGGUGGAUGCCCUGGCAGUCAGAGGCGAUGAAGGACGUGCUAAUCUGCGAUAAGCGUCGGUAAGGUGAUAUGAACCGUUAUAACCGGCGAUUUCCGAAUGGGGAAACCCAGUGUGAUUCGUCACACUAUCAUUAACUGAAUCCAUAGGUUAAUGAGGCGAACCGGGGGAACUGAAACAUCUAAGUACCCCGAGGAAAAGAAAUCAACCGAGAUUCCCCCAGUAGCGGCGAGCGAACGGGGAGGAGCCCAGAGCCUGAAUCAGUGUGUGUGUUAGUGGAAGCGUCUGGAAAGGCGCGCGAUACAGGGUGACAGCCCCGUACACAAAAAUGCACAUGCUGUGAGCUCGAUGAGUAGGGCGGGACACGUGGUAUCCUGUCUGAAUAUGGGGGGACCAUCCUCCAAGGCUAAAUACUCCUGACUGACCGAUAGUGAACCAGUACCGUGAGGGAAAGGCGAAAAGAACCCCGGCGAGGGGAGUGAAAAAGAACCUGAAACCGUGUACGUACAAGCAGUGGGAGCACAGAGCAAUCUGUGUGACUGCGUACCUUUUGUAUAAUGGGUCAGCGACUUAUAUUCUGUAGCAAGGUUAACCGAAUAGGGGAGCCGAAGGGAAACCGAGUCUUAACCGGGCGUUAAGUUGCAGGGUAUAGACCCGAAACCCGGUGAUCUAGCCAUGGGCAGGUUGAAGGUUGGGUAACACUAACUGGAGGACCGAACCGACUAAUGUUGAAAAAUUAGCGGAUGACUUGUGGCUGGGGGUGAAAGGCCAAUCAAACCGGGAGAUAGCUGGUUCUCCCCGAAAGCUAUUUAGGUAGCGCCUCGUGAAUUCAUCUCCGGGGGUAGAGCACUGUUUCGGCAAGGGGGUUAUCCCGACUUACCAACCCGAUGCAAACUGCGAAUACCGGAGAAUGUUAUCACGGGAGACACACGGCGGGUGCUAACGUCCGUCGUGAAGAGGGAAACAACCCAGACCGCCAGCUAAGGUCCCAAAGUCAUGGUUAAGUGGGAAACGAUGUGGGAAGGCCCAGACAGCCAGGAUGUUGGCUUAGAAGCAGCCAUCAUUUAAAGAAAGCGUAAUAGCUCACUGGUCGAGUCGGCCUGCGCGGAAGAUGUAACGGGGCUAAACCAUGCACCGAAGCUGCGGCAGCGACACUGUGUGUUGUUGGGUAGGGGAGCGUUCUGUAAGCCUGUGAAGGUGUGCUGUGAGGCAUGCUGGAGGUAUCAGAAGUGCGAAUGCUGACAUAAGUAACGAUAAAGCGGGUGAAAAGCCCGCUCGCCGGAAGACCAAGGGUUCCUGUCCAACGUUAAUCGGGGCAGGGUGAGUCGACCCCUAAGGCGAGGCCGAAAGGCGUAGUCGAUGGGAAACAGGUUAAUAUUCCUGUACUUGGUGUUACUGCGAAGGGGGGACGGAGAAGGCUAUGUUGGCCGGGCGACGGUUGUCCCGGUUUAAGCGUGUAGGCUGGUUUUCCAGGCAAAUCCGGAAAAUCAAGGCUGAGGCGUGAUGACGAGGCACUACGGUGCUGAAGCAACAAAUGCCCUGCUUCCAGGAAAAGCCUCUAAGCAUCAGGUAACAUCAAAUCGUACCCCAAACCGACACAGGUGGUCAGGUAGAGAAUACCAAGGCGCUUGAGAGAACUCGGGUGAAGGAACUAGGCAAAAUGGUGCCGUAACUUCGGGAGAAGGCACGCUGAUAUGUAGGUGAAGUCCCUCGCGGAUGGAGCUGAAAUCAGUCGAAGAUACCAGCUGGCUGCAACUGUUUAUUAAAAACACAGCACUGUGCAAACACGAAAGUGGACGUAUACGGUGUGACGCCUGCCCGGUGCCGGAAGGUUAAUUGAUGGGGUCAGCGCAAGCGAAGCUCUUGAUCGAAGCCCCGGUAAACGGCGGCCGUAACUAUAACGGUCCUAAGGUAGCGAAAUUCCUUGUCGGGUAAGUUCCGACCUGCACGAAUGGCGUAAUGAUGGCCAGGCUGUCUCCACCCGAGACUCAGUGAAAUUGAACUCGCUGUGAAGAUGCAGUGUACCCGCGGCAAGACGGAAAGACCCCGUGAACCUUUACUAUAGCUUGACACUGAACAUUGAGCCUUGAUGUGUAGGAUAGGUGGGAGGCUUUGAAGUGUGGACGCCAGUCUGCAUGGAGCCGACCUUGAAAUACCACCCUUUAAUGUUUGAUGUUCUAACGUGGACCCGUGAUCCGGGUUGCGGACAGUGUCUGGUGGGUAGUUUGACUGGGGCGGUCUCCUCCUAAAGAGUAACGGAGGAGCACGAAGGUUGGCUAAUCCUGGUCGGACAUCAGGAGGUUAGUGCAAUGGCAUAAGCCAGCUUGACUGCGAGCGUGACGGCGCGAGCAGGUGCGAAAGCAGGUCAUAGUGAUCCGGUGGUUCUGAAUGGAAGGGCCAUCGCUCAACGGAUAAAAGGUACUCCGGGGAUAACAGGCUGAUACCGCCCAAGAGUUCAUAUCGACGGCGGUGUUUGGCACCUCGAUGUCGGCUCAUCACAUCCUGGGGCUGAAGUAGGUCCCAAGGGUAUGGCUGUUCGCCAUUUAAAGUGGUACGCGAGCUGGGUUUAGAACGUCGUGAGACAGUUCGGUCCCUAUCUGCCGUGGGCGCUGGAGAACUGAGGGGGGCUGCUCCUAGUACGAGAGGACCGGAGUGGACGCAUCACUGGUGUUCGGGUUGUCAUGCCAAUGGCACUGCCCGGUAGCUAAAUGCGGAAGAGAUAAGUGCUGAAAGCAUCUAAGCACGAAACUUGCCCCGAGAUGAGUUCUCCCUGACCCUUUAAGGGUCCUGAAGGAACGUUGAAGACGACGACGUUGAUAGGCCGGGUGUGUAAGCGCAGCGAUGCGUUGAGCUAACCGGUACUAAUGAACCGUGAGGCUUAACCUUACAACGCCGAAGGUGUUU
rnacentral:rRNA from 1 species